rnacentral:rRNA from 1 species
UGAUCCUUGCGUUCUGCGGAAGCCUUUGCAGCUAGAAAUAGUAGCCGAAGCGACUCUAAACAAUUUGGUUUCAUGCAAGUCAGUACAUUGCUGGCGACACUUUCGAAUUGCGGGGAACUCCUAAGAGCCCUUCACACCAAACCAGCAUGGGAAACCUAGCUGGCGGCCCGUGGGAAACUACGGGGUAUGGUAAUAGUGGAAGGGAUGAUCUAGUGCUGGCCUUGGUGCCUGGUGCUGGUGAAAUGGACAAUCCGCAGCGAAGCCCCUGCCGUUCAUGGUAGCGCUUGAAGCAACCAAACAUGGGGAACGUUCACAGACUAAGUGGAAGUGGGUGGAGCCGAUGCUCUGCUUAAGAUAUAGUCGGGCCCCUCGGGAAACUUUGGGGAUGCCAACCGUUCCGUAGGUGAACCUGCGGAAGGAUCAUUACACACUGCGCGAUACCUGCUGUUUCAGCAGGUAUUAGCACAGCCAACCCUUUGUCUAUUGCUUACCAUUCGUGAAUCCCUCCGGCAGGGACGCCUGCCGCCGGGACCCCUUAAACUCUACUGUAUACAAAGCAUCAAAACAUUCUGAAUCAAAAACAAUUAUUACAACUUUCAACAAUGGAUCUCUUGGUUCUGGCAUCGAUGAAGAACGCAGCGAAAUGCGAUAAGUAGUGUGAAUUGCAGACUUUAGUGAAAUCAUCGAAUCUUUGAACGCACAUUGCGCCCCUUGGUAUUCCAUUUGGGCAUGCCUGUUCGAGCGUCAUUUAACCCCUCAAGCAUUGCUUGGUGUUGGGCGUUUGUCUGCGGAAAUCAGCGUGGACUCGCCCCAAAAAACAUUGGCAGCGGCUUGCCAGCCUCUCGCGCAGCACAUUGCGCUCCUCGAGGCUUUUGGCGGGGCUUGCGUCCAUCAAGAUCACCCCCAUUUUGACCUCGAAUCAGGUAGGGAAUACCCGCUGAACUUAAGCAUAUCAAUAAGCGGAGGAAAAAGAAACCAACAGGGAUUGCCCUAGUAACGGCGAGUGAAGCGGCAACAGCUCAAAUUUGAAAUCUGGCCUUCUUUGGGGGUCCGAAGUUGUAAUUUGCAGAGGGCGCUUUUGGCGUCGGCAGCGGUUCUAAGUUCCUUGGAACAGGACGUCACAGAGGGUGAGAAUCCCGUACGUGGUCGCCUGCCUUCGCCGUGUAAAGCCCCUUCGACGAGUCGAGUUGUUUGGGAAUGCAGCUCUAAAUGGGAGGUAAAUUUCUUCUAAAGCUAAAUACUGGCCAGAGACCGAUAGCGCACAAGUAGAGUGAUCGAAAGAUGAAAAGCACUUUGGAAAGAGAGUCAAACAGCACGUGAAAUUGUUGAAAGGGAAGCGCUUGCCGCCAGACUUGCCCGUGAAGGUUCUCCUCCUCGGGCAGGCCAGCAUCAGUUUGAGCGAUCGGAUAAUGGCCUCUGUCAUGUAUCUUCUUUAAGGAGGACCCCUUAUAGGGGAGUCGUAGUACGGUACAGCUUGGACUUGAGGSCCGCGCAUUGCUCGAUGCGGCAACCCU